GAUGAACGCUGGCGGCGUGCCUAAUACAUGCAAGUCGAGCGAACGGACGAGAAGCUUGCUUCUCUGAUGUUAGCGGCGGACGGGUGAGUAACACGUGUAUAACCUACCUAUAAGACUGGGAUAACUUCGGGAAACCGGAGCUAAUACCGGAUAAUAUUUUGAACCGCAUGGUUCAAAAGUGAAAGACGGUCUUGCUGUCACUUAUAGAUGGAUCCGCGCUGCAUUAGCUAGUUGUUAAGGUAACGGCUUACCAAGGCAACGAUGCAUAGCCGACCUGAGAGGGUGAUCGGCCACACGGGAACUGAGACACGGACCAGACUCCUACGGGAGGCAGCAGUAGGGAAUCGUCCGCAAUGGGCGAAAGCCUGACGGAGCAACGCCGAGUGAGUGAUGAAGGUCUUCGGAUCGUAAAACUCUGUUAUUAGGGAAGAACAUAUGUGUAAGUAACUGUGCACAUCUUGACGGUACCUAAUCAGAAAGCCACGGCUAACUACGUG
rnacentral:rRNA from 1 species